rnacentral:rRNA from 1 species
CUAAUACAUGCAAGUCGAACGGUCCUUCGGGACAGUGGCGGACGGGUGAGUAACGCGUGGGAACGUGCCCUUUGGUACGGAACAACUGAGGGAAACUUCAGCUAAUACCGUAUGUGCCCUUCGGGGGAAAGAUUUAUCGCCAUUGGAGCGGCCCGCGUUAGAUUAGCUAGUUGGUGGGGUAAAGGCCUACCAAGGCAACGAUCUAUAGCUGGUCUGAGAGGAUGAUCAGCCACACUGGGACUGAGACACGGCCCAGACUCCUACGGGAGGCAGCAGUAGGGAAUCUUGCGCAAUGGGCGAAAGCCUGACGCAGCCAUGCCGCGUGAAUGAUGAAGGUCUUAGGAUUGUAAAAUUCUUUCACCGGGGACGAUAAUGACGGUACCCGGAGAAGAAGCCCCGGCUAACUUCGUGCCAGCAGCCGCGGUAAUACGAAGGGGGCUAGCGUUGCUCGGAAUUACUGGGCGUAAAGGGAGCGUAGGCGGAUAGUUUAGUCAGAGGUGAAAGCCCAGGGCUCAACCUUGGAAUUGCCUUUGAUACUGGCUAUCUUGAGUGUGGGAGAGGUAUGUGGAACUCCGAGUGUAGAGGUGAAUUCGUAGAUAUUCGGAAGAACACCAGUGGCGAAGGCGACAUACUGGCCC